AGCAGCCGCGGUAAUUCCAGCUCCAAUAGCGUAUAUUAAAGUUGUUGCAGUUAAAAAGCUCGUAGUUGAAUUUUGGGUUUGGCCGAUUGGUCCGUUCUUGUAGCGAGUACUGGUCGGUUGGGCCUCACCGCUUGGGGAAGGGUAAUGUCCUUUAUUGGGUGUUGCUCCUAGCCAAGACCUUUACCUUGAAAAAAUUAGAGUGUUUAAAGCAGGCAUAUGCCAGAAUACAUUAGCAUGGAAUAAUAGAAUAGGACAAUGAUUCUAUUUUGUUGGUUUCUAGGACCGUUGUAAUGAUUAAUAGGGAUAGUUGGGGGCAUUAGUAUUCAAUUGUCAGAGGUGAAAUUCUUGGAUUUAUUGAAGACUAACUACUGCGAAAGCAUUUGCCAAGGAUGUUUUC
rnacentral:rRNA from 1 species